CAAUAGCGUAUAUUUAAGUUGCUGCAGUUAAAAAGCUCGUAGUUGGAUUUCGGGUGGGAAUGGCCGGUCCGCCGUUUCGGUGUGCACUUGCUACGCCCACCUUGCUGCCGGGGACGUGCUCUUGAGUUCACGCUCGGGACACGGAGUCGGCGAGGUUACUUUGAGUAAAUUAGAGUGUUCAAAGCAGGCCUACGCUCUGAAUACAUUAGCAUGGAAUAACACGAUAGGACUCUGGCCUAUCUUGUUGGUCUGUAGGACCGGAGUAAUGAUUAAGAGGGACAGUCGGGGGCAUUCGUAUUUCAUUGUCAGAGGUGAAAUUCUUGGAUUUAUGAAGGACGAACUACUGCGAAAGCAUUUGCCAAGGAUGUUUUCAUUAA
rnacentral:rRNA from 1 species